AGUUUCUUAAGUGCUGGGUCAUCUGUGCAGCUUCACUGAACUUCCAUCCCACCUUCUUUGGCCUGGAGAGGAAGCAAAAAUCAUAGAAAGGCUGUAAUGAGGGAGUGGAAGCAAAAGAGCUUUCCAAAGGAGACAUGGCAGAAUGCCCCCAGGAACAGACUCCACCUCACCACUCUUGAGAUGUUGCAGCUUCAGGAAGUCUGCAGUGCUGAUCAGGGACCUGCAGGAUCUUGUUCACCUAACAGAGAAAUAGGUCUGAAGCAGACUACUAUGAGAAUGAAGUCAGCUAUCUGCCAGGAUGCCUCAGCCACCAUCAAGACUUUUGUGUGCAGAGAAACAGGAUUUAAGAGGGGAGGGACUGAAAGGCUGUGGAAGCCACUGGGUUCAGUCAUCCAUUCAAUCCACAUUUUUUGACCACUCCUUAUGUGCUAGGCCCUGUGCUUACACUCAGGAUUUAAUAGUAAAGAAAUUAUUGGACCCC